rnacentral:rRNA from 1 species
GACGAACGCUGGCGGCGUGCUUAACACAUGCAAGUCGAACGGAAAGGCCCUGCUUUUGUGGGGUGCUUGAGUGGCGAACGGGUGAGUAACACGUGAGUAACCUGCCCUUGACUUUGGGAUAACUUCAGGAAACUGGGGCUAAUACCGGAUAGGAGCUCCUGCUGCAUGGUGGGGGUUGGAAAGUUUCGGCGGUUGGGGAUGGACUUGCGGCUUAUCAGCUUGUUGGUGGGGUUGUGGCUUCCAAAGGCUUGGACGGGUAGCCGGCCUGAGAGGGUGACCGGCCACAUUGGGACUGAGAUACCGCCCAGACUCCUACGGGAGGCAGCAGUGGGGAAUAUUGCACAAUGGGCGGAAGCCUGAUGCAGCAACGCCGCGUGCGGGAUGACGGCCUUCGGGUUGUAAACCGCUUUCGCCUGUGACGAAGCGUGAGUGACGGUAAUGGGUAAAGAAGCACCGGCUAACUACGUG